UACACACCGCCCGUCACACCAUGGGAGUUGGCUUUACCUGAAGGCGUUGCGCUAACCCGCAAGGGAGGCAGGCGACCACGGUAGGGUCAGCCGACUGGGGUG
rnacentral:rRNA from 1 species